GGAUCCACUCCGAGCCAUAUCUGGGAAUGAAGGUCCCCAAACUUGCCCACUGGAAAUUCCAGCGGUCCCAAUAUGAUGCUGAAGGCCUGGAGGAUUCCCAGAUUGACAUGGCAACAAGAUAGAUGGUACCAGGUAAGCCAUUAAUGUCAAUCUUACAGGUCUUAUUGCUACUAAUCAUUGUGCCUUCCAACUCACAAGGUAUCCCCUUGCUGUGCAUUCCAUCCCAGUUCACUACCAGUUGGAGCUUUUCCUGCUGGACCCCACUGUCUCGUGCUGGGGAUACCUGAGCAGCCUGCUGAUAGUAAACAUGAGCCGUGGCCUGCACUGCCUGAAAAGCCAGCGGGAGGACACAGCAAGCCGUAGGCAUGAGACAACACUCAGCGGAGGCAUGCUGGCAUCCCUAAGGCCUGACCCGGGCCUGAAUCUCAGCUCACAGA